rnacentral:rRNA from 1 species
UACGUAGGGGGCAAGCGUUGUCCGGAAUCAUUGGGCGUAAAGCGCGCGUAGGCGGCCCGGUAAGUCCGCUGUGAAAGUCGGGGGCUCAACCCUCGGAAGCCGGUGGAUACUGUCGAGCUAGAGUACGGAAGAGGCGAGUGGAAUUCCUGGUGUAGCGGUGAAAUGCGCAGAUAUCAGGAGGAACACCAAUUGCGAAGGCAGCUCGCUGGGACGUUACUGACGCUGAGACGCGAAAGCGUGGGGAGCAAACAGG